rnacentral:lncRNA from 1 species
GCCCAGCAGGAUCUGCACCAGGUCCUCGUAUAGGAUGAGGGUGGCGGGGCGCUCGGGCUGCAGGUACAGGCUGAUGGAGGCGUACAGUGGCAGUUUGGUGACCCGCCAGGGCACGGUGGCGGUGACGAAGCCCCGCCGGGUGGCGGUGACCAGAACCCACGUGCCCAGGCUGUAGGACAGCGGCACGACCCCCCCGCCCUCGUGGUCGGUGGUCCCGGUGGCCAGAGAGCCGCGGGGUCCCAGCACCUCCAGGCUGGUCUGGGGCAGCGGGGUGAGCGCGCCGCUCUCAUACACCUGUACCUUCAGCAGGACGUCCAUCGCCCCCCGCCCGCCCGCAGCCGACAGGAGGAGGAGGAGGAGGAGGGGGGGGGGGCGGCGGGGCCGCAUCGUGCCCGCACCGCUCCGCUACGGCUCCAUGGCCGCCCCGCACCGCCCCG